rnacentral:misc_RNA from 1 species
GAUGAAGAACGUAGCGAAAUGCGAUAAGUAAUGUGAAUUGCAGAAUUCAGUGAAUCAUCGAAUCUUUGAACGCACCUUGCACCCUUUGGCAUUCCGAAGGGUAUGCUCGUUUGAGUGUCAUUGUACUCUCACUCUCCCGAUGCUUUUGGAUCGGGAGUGGUGGACUUGGGUGUUGCUGCUUUGCUGUGGCUCGCCUCAAAUGGAGUAGUGCAACUCUUGGUUGGACAUAGUACGGCGUGAUAAGUGUCUUCGCCGGCGCCUCAUUAUAGAGGGUGGCCGAUCGGGAGCUCUGUGCUUCAAACCGUCUUCGGACAACAUCUGACAACUUGACCUCAAAUCGAGUAGGACUACCCGCUGAACUUAAGCAUAUCAUAAGCGGAGGA